rnacentral:rRNA from 1 species
AAAUAAAGAAAUCAAGUGAACAGGAAAAAUCAAAAGAAUAUAACCGUACUGUAAACCGCCACUGGUGAAGGAGUAGAAAUCUACUAAGGUGAUCGAAAGAACCAUUUUUAAGGAACUCGGCAAAAUGACCCCGUAACUUAGGGAGAAGGGGGACCUCUAU